rnacentral:lncRNA from 1 species
UUUUUUUUUUUUUUUUUUUUUUUUUUGCUAUUUAGGGCCACUACUGGGCAUAUGGAGAUUUCCAGUAUAGGGGUCAAAUCAGAGCCACAAUUGCUGGCCUACACCACAGCCACAGGAAUGCUGGAUUCAAGCUGUGUCUGUAACUUAUACAUCUCGCAGCAAUGCCAGUACUUAACCCACUGAAUGAGGCCAUGUAUCAAACCCACAACCUCAUGGUUCCUACUCAGAUUCAUUUCCACUGUGCUAUCACAGGAAAUCCUAUAAUGGUUAAUUUUAUAUGUCAACUUGAAUAGGCUAUAGAACCAAGAUAUUUGGUCAAACAUAUGUCUAGAUGUUUCCAUGAAGGUACCUUUAUGGGUGAGAUUAAUAUCACAAUCUGAACACUCUUACUAAAGCAGACUAUCCUCCAUAAUGAGAGUGAGCCUCACCCAAUCAGUUGAGGACCUUAAGAAAAGGAUAACUUGAUCCCCUUGCUAUAGAGUGGGAAAAAAAUAAAUUAUAAAAAAAAUAAGGAAUAAAAGAACUGGAUGAAAAAAAAAGAAAAAUAAUUACCUCCCAUGAAGAAGAGACAUUUCUGUCAUUUCUGUCAGCAGCCUGCCUUCAGACACAAACAGCAACUUUUCCCAGGUUUCCAGCCUUCCAACAAACCCUGCCAAAUAUACUUCCCAGAUUCCACAAGUAUAUUAACUAAUAGUUUACAAUCUCUCAAUCUCUCUCGCUCUUGCUCUAUCAUUUUUCUUCUCUUUUGGCCAACCUGUGGCAUAUGUAAAUUCCUAGGCCAGGGCUCAGAUCAGAGCCUUAGUAACAACCUACGCCACUGCUGUGGGAAUUGCAUUCUAUAACACAAUGCAGAGAUGCCCCCAAUCCCAUAAUGCCAUGGUAGGUACACCAUAAAUCUUUCUUAAACACACACACCCUUUUGAUUGCAUCUCUCUAGAGAAUCUUGACUAAUACACCUCUACCAUGACCUUAAGUGCCCUAACAAUCUGGUCCUCUGAUAUCUCUGAAGUAAUCACCCACCAUCGCUCCCCCACUUAGUUCUGUCCAGGUACAGAGGUUCCGUUAAUGUCCCUGGGAUAGGCCAGGUACCAUCCCUCCUAAGAAUAUUCCUAGUUGCUGAUUUCCAUGCUUUUUCCCAGGCAGCCCCAUGGCUCACUUCCCUGUCCUAACUAAAGUCUUCAGAUGUUACCUUCCCAGUGAGCUCUAACUAGAUCACUUGGUAUGAAAUUAUGAACCCCACUCCAGCACUCUUGCUCCCUCACCAUUUUUUUAUUUUACUUUUUUGGGCUAAAACACAGCAUAUAGAAAUUCCCAGGCUGGGGUCAAUUAUGAUCUGUAGCUUCCUGAAUACACCACAGCCACAGCAAGGGGGGAUCUGAGCUACAUCUGAGACCUAAACUGCAGCUCAUGCCAAUGCUGGAUCCUUAACCCAUUAAGCAAGGCCAGGGAUUAAAUCCAUAUCCUCAUGGAUAUUAGUCAGGUUUGCUACAGCUGAGCCACAAUGAGAACUCCUUGCUCUCCACUUUUUAUGCCUCCUUUAUUCACAUAUGGUUUUACCUACAAAAACUUAGAAUGUAUUUAUUUCAGACACAGAAACCCAUCUUUACCUCAGUAAUGAAAUGAUGACAAUUUUAAGAUGGGAUUAAGAUGUCAGAAUAGAAGGACUGGAGCUCAACUUCUCUCAUGAAAACAACAAAAUUACUACCAAAUGCUGAGCAACCUUCAACCAAAUGGACUGGAAACAUUCAAAAAGAUAUCCUACACCAAAAGACCAAUAGGGGACCACAUCAAGAGGUAGGAGGGGAGAUUACAUGAUAUAAGCAAACCUAUACCUCCCAGGUGGGAAGUCACACAUACUGGAAAGUAACUGUAUCACAGAGACUCACCUACAGGAGUGAGAGGUCUGAGCCUCACAUCAAAUCCUCAUGCCUGGGGACCUGGCACUGGGAAAAAGAGCCCCCAGAGCAUCUGACAUUGAAGGCCAGGGUCUUGUGCACAGGAGCUCCAUGGAACUGGGGGAAACAGAGACCCCACUCUUGAAAUGUGCACACAUAUGUUCACGUGGACUGUGUCCCAGGGAAAAGCAAAGUCUCCAUAGGAAUCUAGGUCAGACCAGACUGCAGUUCUUGGAGGAUCUCCUGGGAAAACAGGGGCUGACUGUGCCUUAUGGUGGGGGAAGAGCAUUGGAGGAAAAGCUCUUGGGAAUAUUCAUCAGCAUGCAUUUUCCUGGAGGUGGCCAUUUUGGGAAAAUCUGGCCCCACCCAUCAGUGCUGAGAAACUCCAAGCCAAACAAAAAUCCAGGUGGGAUCACAGCCCCACCCAUAAGUAAAUAGGCUGCCUAAAGACCCUCCCAGACACACAGCUGCCUCUAAUCUUACCCAGAGACAAAGCCCCACCCCCAUAGGGAUUGGAAUUAGCCACACCUACCAGUGGGCAGGCACCAGGCCCUCUCAUCAGGAAGGCUAGAGCAAGCCCCCAUACCAACUUUAUCCAUAAGGGCAGCAGACACCAGAAGCAAGAGAGGCUACAACUUUACUGUCUGCAAAAAGGACACCACACCAAAAACCUAUAAAAAUGAAAAGAUAGAGAAUUAUAACUCAGAUAAGGGAGAAGGAAAAAACCCCAAGAAAACAGCUAAGUGAUCAGAAGAUUCUCAGCCUCCAAGAAAUAGACUUUAGACUGUUGAUGCUGAAGAUGAUGCAAUACAUUGGAAAUAAACUUGAAACAUAGAUGUCCACUGAGUAAAGAAAUACAAUAAAUAAAACUUAAGUAAGAAGAGAUACAAAAUACAAUAUUUUUCUAAUAAAUAAUUCAUUAGAAACAGCCAAAUGCAAAAUACAGGAGGCAGAAGAACAAAUAAGCAAGGUGGAGGACAAACUAGUGGAAAUCACUGAUGCAAAACAGAAAAGAGAAAAAAGAAAUGAAGAGAGUCUCAGAGAGUUCUGGGACAAUGUUAAACACACCAACAUCCAUAUUAUUGGGGUGUCAGGAGAAGAAAGAGAGAAAAGAACAGAAAAAAUAUUCAAAGAGAUAACAGCCAAAAACUUCCUUAACAUGGGAAAGGAACCACUCACUCAAAUCCAGGAAGCACAAGGAGUACCAUAUAAAAUAAACUCAAGGAGGAACACCCCAAGACACAUAUUAAUCCAAAUGACUAAAAUUUAAGACAAAGAGAAAAUAUUGAAAGCAGCUAGGGAAAAGAACAAAAUAGCAUACAAGAGAACCCCAAUAAGGUUAUCAGGAGAUUUUCAGCAGAAACUUGGCAGACCAGAAGGGAGUGGCAGGCCAGAAGGGAGUGGCAUGAUAUACUUAACAUGAUGAAAGGAAAAAACCUCCAACCAAGAUUACUUUACCCAGCAAGGCUCUCAUUCAGAUUGGAAGGAGAAAUAAAAAGCUUCACAGCCAAGCAAAAGCUAAGAGAAUUCAGCAACAUUAAACCACCUUUACAACAAAUACUAAAGGAACUUCUGUAGGCAGCAAAGAAAAGUCCAUAACCAGAACCAAAAUACCACAAAUGACAAGGUUCACAAGUAAGGCAUAUAUACAAUAAAGAUACAAAUUCAUCCAUGCACAAUUAUGCUACCAAAUCAUUUGAUUUCUAAUACUUCUUUUUCAAAAUUACUUUUUCACUAUAAUUUUUAAAGGUUCAAUACUUCCAAUGAUAAUCUAACAAAGGGAAUUCACAAGUUUUGUUGGAGUGAUGGAGAUAAGCCUUGCUGAUGCAAAAGGCAGAUGCCUCCAACCUCCAACCUCCAUUUGAGUGAGGUUCCAUGACUGGUAGGAAAUAGAAGAAAAUACCUCUAUAAGAAUAACUCUAGGGAGAGCGUUGUCAUUCUUCUGAAUGUACUUUUAUGGCCAAUAAGAACUCCAAAUGCCUUUUUUCCCUUUUUUCCACAUCUUGGAAUCUCAUACUAUUUUAUCCAAAGCCACUUGACACCAGACACAGGGAACAUAGCCCACCCAGAAUAUGGGAGGGGUGUGUGAGAAGUCUAUUUGUUAAUGGUCACAUUUUACAAAUAUCCAGAGAAAAAGAACAAUUUAAACCAGUGAAACCUGUGGAUGCCACCUUAACCCAGGGAUCAAAUCACCAUCACAGGUGAUGAAACAACCUGACAUCAUGGCUUCCUGAUAUGAUGCACUGAGAAGGAACCAAUAUCCCUUCCAUGGGAUUCCUGCCCCAAAUGUAUAACCUGAGUUUAAUCAUGAGGAAACAGCCAAGAGGCUCAAACUUAAGAGCAGUGCUGAAAAAAAAAAAAUUGGCCUGUGCUCUUGAACAAUGUCAAGUUUACAAAUAAAGGCUGAAGAAACAUUCCAAGUUAAUGGAGACUAAAGAGGCAAGAUGACUAAAUGCAAUAUGAGGCACAGGGAUGGAUCCUGGAUGAGGAAAAAAAAUGCUACAGAGGAUCUCAUUGGGAGAAUAGGGAAAACCUGCACACAGUAUAUACAUUAAGUAACAAUAUCACUUCAAAGAUAACGUUCUGAUUUUCACAAUUAUACUGUGGUUAUACAAUAUAAUGUCUUCAGUCUUAGGGAUAAAGGGUCAUGAUGUCUUCAACUUUCAAGUGGUUCUGGGAAAAUUGUGUGUGUGUAUGUGUGUGUGCAUGGAGACUGUGUGAGAAUGAGUGGGGGGAUGGGGAUAUGAGAAUGGUGAAACAAAGUGUGGCUAAAUGUUAACAGGCUGAAAGGUGUGCAAGAGUUCUUUUCUCCAGUCUUGUAAUUCUUCUGUAUGGUUGAAACAAUUUCAAAAUAAAAAUUAAAAAAGGCCCUUGAUUAAACACUAAAAAUUAUUUAUUGUAUUAUAUCUGGGUAGUUAUGUACAUGUCUUUCUGUAAGAUGAAAUAGUAAGUACACAUAAAGAAUUUCUUGGUAUUAUACCUGAAACUUAUGUAACACUGUAAAUCAACCAUACCUCAAUAAAAAUGUAAAUAAAAUAAAAUUAAAAAUAAUUACUCUGUACUGAAAAAAGGAAUGAUGACAAUUUUAAAAACAAAUGAAGUUUUCAGUGUCUUAGAAGGUUAAAAUCAUCUAUGAAAAAAAAGGAGCAUGAUAAGCUGGAACAGGAGUGCUAUAAUAUAAACUCUACAACAGGAUACAUUUUUUUUAAACUUGGAUUCUCAGAAUAUAGAAAAUUGCCUGGCACAUAGUAGUCAUGCAAUAGAUACUUUAGGGUGCAAGUUUUUUUUAAUUCAUGCAGUUAGCUUUUUCAUAUUAGAAGUGAUAUCUCUGGAGAAAAGAAAACACCCAUUUCCAAGGCUAAAAUUAAUCCAAUAACUGUAGACUGUUCUCAAUACAAACAUCCAAAUUAAGCAGAAAAGUCUAUCAUUGUGGAAUGGGGAAAUUUGACCAAAGGUAAAGGGAAUGACCCAAUAACAAUGACCAUUUAAAGGAGAGUUAGAAAAGUGCUAGAGACAUGGGUGAUCAACACACAACUUUUUAAGGCAUUUCUAACAAGGUCAGUGAGUAAAUAAGAACAUGGUUAAAUUAUUCUCACUUGGCUAAAAUGUUACUCUUUCUGAAAACAAGCCCCAGAGCCAAAGUCAUGUCUCUGUUUCUCAGACUGUAGAUGAAAGGGUUCAGCCUUCAGGAUGGAGAGCCCAAUAUGGCCGUAAGAGACCAGGAUGCCACUCAAUGGAAAAAUGACAACAGCAGGCCCUAGAGUGAAUAUGAGCAGCUCAUUGAGGGAUGUGUCUGAGCAGGAGAGUUUGACUAGGGCAGCAAGGUCACAGAAGAAGUGGGGGAUGAUGUUGUCAGCACAGAAGGACAGUUGAGCCAGGAGGAGGGUGUGGGUCAGUGCAGCGGCACAGGAGAAGAGCCAGGAUCCAGCCAACAGACACAGACACAGCUCCUCUCUCAUGAUGAUGGCAUAAUGGAGAGGGUGACAGAUGGCCACAUACCUGUCAUAGGCCAUCACUGCAAGAAGAAGGUUAUCAAUGCAACCAAAAAACAUGAAGAAAUAUGUUUGUGUUAUACACCCUGCAUAAGGAAUGGAUUGAUCCUGAGUCUGCAUGUUCUUCAGCAUCUUAGGGAUGGUGACAGAUGAAAAGGAGAUGUCAGAGAGGGCCAGGUGACUGAGGAAGAAGUACAUGGGGGUGUGGAGGCGAGGGUCCAGCCUGAUGAGCAGGAUGAUGAGCAGGUUCCCCAGCACUGUAGUCAGGUACAUGCCCAGGAACAGGGCAAAUAAGAUGCCCUGCUUCUCUGGCUGAGUGGGGAGCCC